GGAAGGUGAAGGAAAGGGCAGUGGCAAUAAGAGCAGACACAGGCACAGGAAGAGCUGUGUUGGUGAAUGUUCCAUAACUGCAUGCCAUGUUCAGGAACUGUCUGCCCGAUAACAUGAUGUGGAAGUAAUGGCAUGCUACACCUACGUGCACACUUCUGCUUUGACAUCAAACAACAUGUCGCCCAGAUGUUCUUCUCUGGCCCCAGCUCAGAAUACUCAAUAUACUUCAAAGAAAAUGGGGGGCAAGCCUAGUCGACCAACAACUACAACAACGACUACCACAACGACAACGACUACCACAACGAC